rnacentral:lncRNA from 1 species
GUUUUGGGGGAAGGCUGAGUUAGGCAAGGCUUGACUGCCGCACGGAGGUGAAACCUCAGCCAGGAUUUAAGUGGCCAAAAUCGACCCCGUGACAGUUGGUAUCAGAGCGCGGUUGAAGGCAGAUCAUGUUGCAGCGGAGACACGACGUGCCAUAGCAAGUUGUGGCAAUGACGGAACGAUCAGUGGCAGAUUACGUUGAAAUUUUUGAGAACAUGGCAGGAGGCACAAAUGCGGAGCUGCGUCAAAGAGUUGAGCAGUUGGAAACACUAGUUGGGCAAGCUCUCGAGAAUGAUGAUUCUUCUGUUCUUGCGAGAAUGGCGCGGUUGGAGGCAGAUUAUGCGGCGAGGCACGAGACAACGCUGGCAGAAAUGGCCUUCGGAGCUGCGUCAAAGAGUUGAGCAGUUGGAAACACUAGUUGGGCAAGCUCUCGAGAAUGAUGAUUCUUCUGUUCUUGCGAGAAUGGCGCGGUUAGAGGCAGAUUAUGCGGCGAGGCACGACACAACGCUGGCAGAAAUGGCCUUGGUACGCCAAGAGAAGGAAGAGUUGCAACGAGAAGUGGCUGAUCUU